rnacentral:rRNA from 1 species
CGGACGGGUGAGUAAUGCCUAGGAAAUUGCCUUGAUGUGGGGGAUAACCAUUGGAAACGAUGGCUAAUACCGCAUAAUGCCUACGGGCCAAAGAGGGGGACCUUCGGGCCUCUCGCGUCAAGAUAUGCCUAGGUGGGAUUAGCUAGUUGGUGAGGUAAUGGCUCACCAAGGCGACGAUCCCUAGCUGGUCUGAGAGGAUGAUCAGCCACACUGGAACUGANACACGGUCCAGACUCCUACGGGAGGCAGCAGUGGGGAAUAUUGCACAAUGGGCGAAAGCCUGAUGCAGCCAUGCCGCGUGUAUGAANAANGCCUUCGGGUUGUAAAGUACUUUCA